rnacentral:rRNA from 1 species
UACGAAGGGGGCUAGCGUUGUUCGGAAUUACUGGGCGUAAAGCGUGCGCAGGCGGCUUUCCAAGUCAGUGGUGAAAGCCCGGAGCUCAACUCCGGAAAUGCCAUUGAAACUGUGAAGCUUGAGAACGAGAGAGGUGAGUGGAAUUCCCAGUGUAGAGGUGAAAUUCGUAGAUAUUGGGAAGAACACCAGUGGCGAAGGCGGCUCACGGGCUCGUAACUGACGCUCAUGCACGACAGCGUGGGGAUCAAACGGG